GUUUCUGUAGUGUAGUGGUCAUCACGUUUGCCUAACACGCCAAAAUGGUCCCAGGCUCGAAACCUGGCAGAAACA